rnacentral:lncRNA from 1 species
CCCGAGGAACGGUAGAAACCGGGAUCGCGGAGGUGCGAGCCCGAGCCCGGGAGCGGAGCGCUUCCCGGGGAGACGCCAAGACGGCGAGAAAGGAGGAGCGGGAACGCAGAGGUCGGGGAAGGUGUGAUUAUGAAAAUAAACAAGGGAAGUGAGGGAAAUAUAACCAAGUGGAAAAAGGAAAUGGAGUGCAAAUUGAGAACAUAAUCCAGAAUUCGUAAAAGUGGUAUGGAUAAAGAAGGUCAAAAUGGUCUCUGAUGAAAAGAAACUUUUAAAAUGCUUGGAAAAGUUAAUGAAUUAGAUUUCCCUGCACUUGAAGAUAUUAGGAUUGGGAGAUCAAGACUCCCAUCAGCCAAAUCAAGAAUAUUCACAAUUGACAGGAAAACUCAAAGUUUCUUUUUCCCCACCAGAGAAAUGUCUCCCACCCCCAUAGCUAAACAGUGGUAAGUCAUAGAAAUGAUUAUAUUAGCUUAAAGAGAAUGUUUCCUA